rnacentral:rRNA from 1 species
UAGGGAAUAUUGCAAAAUGGGCGAAAGCCCGAUGCAGCAACGCCGCGUGGGCGAUGAAGGCCUUCGGGUCGUAAAGCCCUUUUUGAGGGGAUGAGGAAGGACAGUACCCUCAGAAUAAGCCUCGGCUAACUACGUGCCAGCAGCCGCGGUAAAACGUAGGAGGCGAGCGUUAUCCGGAUUUACUGGGCGUAAAGCGCGUGCAGGCGGAUUGGAGAGUUGGAUGUGAAAGCUCCCGGCUUAACUGGGAGAGGUCGUUCAAUACUUCCAGUCUUGAGUGCAGUAGAGGGAAGUGGAAUUCCGGGUGUAGUGGUGAAAUGCGUAGAUAUCCGGAGGAACACCAGUGGCGGAAGCGGCUUCCUGGACUGUAACUGACGCUCAGACGCGAAAGCUAGGGUAGCAAACG